UACGAAGGGGCUAGCGUUGCUCGGAAUCACUGGGCGUAAAGGGUGAGUAGGCGGGUCUUUAAGUCAGAGGUGAAAUCCUGGAGCUCAACUCCAGAACUGCCUUGAUACUGAAAUCUUGAGUAUGGGAGAGGUGAGUGGAACUGCGAGUGUAGAGGUGAAAUUCGUAGAUAUUCGCAAGAACACCAGUGGCGAAGGCGGCUCACUGGCCCAUAACUGACGCUGAGGCACGAAAGCGUGGGGAG
rnacentral:rRNA from 1 species